rnacentral:lncRNA from 1 species
CCUGAUAACGCUUCCUGUCAUCUUUCGAACUACGUCCGAGAUCAUCUACCAGUACUCCAUCAUCGAGGCUAGCGGGCUGCCAAGCUGACCAAACUGGCCCUGAAAGCAGCCGUUGUGAAGUAAACCAACAUCAAAAUAGUCAACAAAAGAAAAACAACUUACCAAAACCAAGAUGGCGGCCUACAUAUGGCGUCCUCUACUACCUGUUCCUGACCCACGGCAUCGAAAUAUCAUAAAGCUCACCAAUCGCCUUCGGGCACCGAGCCGACCGUGCGAGGGCUGUAUAGCUAGUCAAGGUCGUUAAACACCACCAUAUAUAUAU